rnacentral:tRNA from 1 species
NUUAGAAUCUAAUUAAACUUUAA